UCAGGAUGAACGCUAGCUACAGGCUUAACACAUGCAAGUCGAGGGCAGCAUGAUCGAAGCUUGCUUGAUGAUGGCGACCGGCGCACGGGUGAGUAACGCGUAUCCAACCUUCCCUAUAGUAGAGAAUAGCCCGGCGAAAGUCGGAUUAAUGCUCUAUGUUGUAUUUAGAGGACAUCUGAAGAAUACCAAAGGUUUACCGCUAUAGGAUGGGGAUGCGUCUGAUUAGGUAGUAGGCGGGGUAACGGCCCACCUAGCCGACGAUCAGUAGGGGUUCUGAGAGGAAGGUCCCCCACAUUGGAACUGAGACACGGUCCAAACUCCUACGGGAGGCAGCAGUGAGGAAUAUUGGUCAAUGGACGGAAGUCUGAACCAGCCAAGUAGCCGUGCAGGAUGACGGCCCUAUGGGUUGUAAACUGCUUUUAUAUAGGGAUAAAGUCGGGGACGUGUCCCCGUUUGUAGGUACUAUAUGAAUAAGGACCGGCUAAUUCCGUGCCAGCAGCAGC
rnacentral:rRNA from 1 species